rnacentral:rRNA from 1 species
GUCGCGGUAAAAAGCUCGUAGGUGGAUUUCUGUUGAAUGAGGCCGGUCCAUACCACGUAUGCGCAUCUGGUUCUCUUUCGGCAUCCUUGCAUUGGACGUUUUUGCGCUUGAUUGCGUGAGGCGGGCGAUGCAACUUUUACUUUGAGGAAAUUAGAGUGUUCACGGCAGGCUAUCGCCCGAAUACAUUAGCAUGGAAUAAUGAGAUAGGAUUCCGGUUCUAUUUUGUUGGUUUCUAGAUCUGGAAUAAUGAUUAAUAGGAACAGUUGGGGGUAUCCGUAUCAUGGCGUCAGAGGUGGAAUUCUUGGAUUGCCAUGCGACGAACUACUGCGAAAGCAUUUACCAAGGAUGUUUUCAUUACUCAAGAACGAAGGCUGAAGGAUCGAAGAUGAUUAGAUACUUUUGUAGUUUCAGCAGUAAACUAUGCCAACUCAGAAUCCCGCAUCAUUCAUUUCGAUAUGCGGGGCGCUGUAUGAGAUAUCAAAGUUUUUGGGUUCCGGGGGGAGUACAAGCGCAAGCUAGAAACUUAAAGGAAUUGACGGAAGGGCACCACCAGGAGUGGAGCCUGCGGCUUAAUUUGACUCAACACGGGGAAACUCACCAGGUCCAGACAUAAUAAGGAUUGACAGAUUGAUAGCUCUUUCUUGAUUUUAUGGGUGGUGGUGCAUGGCCGUUCUUAGUUCGUGGAGUGAUUUGUCUGCUUAAUUGCGUUAACGAACGAGACCUUAACCUGCUAAAUAGAAGCGCCUAUCUCCGGAUAAGCGCCUUUCUUCUUAGAGGGACUGUAUGCGUUUCAGCAUGCGGAAGUUUGAGGCUAAAACAGGUCUGUGAUGCCCUUCGAUGUUCUGGGCUGCACGCGCGCUACACUGAUGCUUUCACCGAGUGUACAACCUUGGUUGAUAAACUUGGGUAA